UCAGGGUGGCCCCCAAACGCAGCAAUGUGAGUGGGCGUCUGUGCAAACCUGGAGGUCACCGCAUUCACACCACAGCCCACCUGGACCAGACGCAUCACACACUCCAGCUGUGACGAGACAAGGGCAAUGCACAUAAAAGAGGACAUAGAGCGACAUGAAGAAGAAACAAGAAGAGGAGCAGAGGAGAAAAGAGGAGACAGGACAGUGUGCACUGUGAACCCUCUCAUUAACAAAGAUAGUACUCCAUCUGUUGGGUUGAUGAGGUCAGCAGUUAAUAUUGUGCCAUUCUGUGUUCAGCAAGUGUCCCCAGAUGUCCCCUUCAUCUGCUGCAGCAUGACCAUCAGAGACACUUUACUGUCCUGAAGACGUUCAGUGUUACAGAUACAUUCGUCACUAAUUUCUUUGUGUUUCUAGGAAACAAUUAACAAAUAUACCUCCAGGACACGUUGCAGUGUGUGUUUGGAACCUGAGUACUGGUUCCAUGGUGUAGUGGUUGGCAACGCAUUUCAAUCCAGCGAUCUGAGUUGAAUUCUCAGUGUUACCUAAUUUGAAAUGAACAGGUAAAAAUAGUAAAACAGUGUUAAA